AAUUAAAACUUUCAUCUAUUUUUUUGUUAAAAACUAACAUGUUUGAUUAAAUAACCAAACAGUUACACAUAGCGUGCCACGUAUACCUCAUCGUACAUGGACCAAAUUUUAAUAGAAAUGAAUGAAAUUUUAAAUA
rnacentral:pre_miRNA from 1 species